CAAUCAUGAUCUUCAGAUCUGUCUCCUGAGUAGCUUGAAUUCCAGGCUGAGCUACUGGAACCGGGGCAUGUUAUUAGGGUAUUUUUAAAAAGAUAAUUCUAUGGGAGGUUGAGGCAGGAAUAUCACCAUGUUUUUGAGGCCAGCAUUGGGGCUACAUGGUAAAGGACCAUGUCUCAAAAAAAAAAAAAAAUUCCAGCCCUAAUAUGGAAUGUAGCAUUUAAGCCAGGGUAGACUAUAAGCCCUGAGAAAACUACUGAGGUUGUCUGUUAGCAGGAGACUGUCUUAAGGAUGAAAGCAACAAAAAUGAUCUCCUUUGAGUCAAGGAGUUAAAAUUUUUCACCAACUGGCUAGUUUUAUAAUACAAAAUAAAGACCACCCGGGUAGGUGAAUAACCCUGUAGCCUUACCUACUCAGGAGCAAGAGGAUAAUUUGAUCUCAGUAGUUCAAGUGUCAGCCAGGCAACAUAAAAAGACUCAGUCUCAUUACAAAAAAAAAAAGGCCAAGGUCUAAUCUACUGUAUCACUUUAAAAAAAUCCUGUGCAAGUGGUGGCUUACACUUACAUUCUUAGCUAACUAGAAUUAUGGUUCAAGGCCAGUCAGGCAAAAAGUGCUGGAGAUCCUAUCUCAAUCAGUAACUGGGCAAAGUAGUAUAUGCCUAUCAUCCCCAAUAAACAGUGAGCAGAAUUAUAGUCCAGAUUAGACUAGGCAUAAAGACUAGACCCUUACUAAAAAUAAUAAC